UGCUAACGUCGGUCUGGCAGCCGCGGUAAGAUGGGGGGUUCAUGCGGUAUCCGGAUUUAUUGGGUUUAAAGGGUCCGUAGGCGGACUGGUAAGUCAGUGGGGAAAGCCUACAGCUUAACUGUAGAACUGCCGUUGAUACUGUCGGUCUUGAGUGUGGUUGAGGUAGCUGGAAUGAGUAGUGUAGCGGUGAAAUGCAUAGAUAUUACUCAGAACACCAAUUGCGAAGGCAGGUUACCAAGUCACAACUGACGCUGAUGGACGAAAGCGUGGGGAGCGAACAGGAUUAGAUACCCCAGUAGUC
rnacentral:rRNA from 1 species